GGGAGUGUAAAGGUUUCGACAGGGAUUUAGAAGUAUAGGAAGCGAGCAGCGGUGCGGAACCGCUUUAAAAUCCGCAUAAAAAAUUAACUAACAACAAUAAAGUUGCUUUAGCUGCCUAAUUAGGCGGCUCGUCGAACCUUAGAGUACCACGGCUAAGGCAAGGCGUCAAUUAGUGGUGCACAUGAACAGCGGGUUGUUCCCCCUGCUGUCACGAAGUAGGAACUACCAAGCAAAACAGUCGGUCGCUUGACGGUUUUGUAAGGGAAUUUAAAUAGGCGACUGCGCUCGGAGAGGCCUGUAUGGAAAAAUUUUUGGACAGGAGUUCGAUUCUCCUCACUUCCACCA
rnacentral:tmRNA from 1 species